UGCCCUUCUUCCUGCCUCUGAUAGACC
rnacentral:piRNA from 1 species